rnacentral:rRNA from 1 species
GACGAACGCUGGCGGCGUGCUUAACACAUGCAAGUCGAACGGAAAGGCCCUGCUUUUGUGGGGUGCUCGAGUGGCGAACGGGUGAGUAACACGUGAGUAACCUGCCCUUGACUUUGGGAUAACUUCAGGAAACUGGGGCUAAUACCGGAUAGGAGCUCCUGCUGCAUGGUGGGGGUUGGAAAGUUUCGGCGGUUGGGGAUGGACUCGCGGCUUAUCAGCUUGUUGGUGGGGUAGUGGCUUACCAAGGCUGUGACGGGUAGCCGGCCUGAGAGGGUGACCGGCCACAUUGGGACUGAGAUACGGCCCAGACUCCUACGGGAGGCAGCAGUGGGGAAUAUUGCACAAUGGGCGGAAGCCUCAUGCAGCAACGCCGCGUGCGGGAUGACGGCCUUCGGGUUGUAAACCGCUUUCGCCUGUGACGAAGCGUGAGUGACGGUAAUGGGUAAAGAAGCACCGGCUAACUACGUG